CCAUGCCGCGUGUGUGAAGAAGGCCUUAUGGUUGUAAAGCACUUUAAGCGAGGAGGAGGCUACUUUAGUUAAUACCUAGAGAUAGUGGACGUUACUCGCAGAAUAAGCACCGGCUAACUCUGUGCCAGCAGCCGCGGUAAUA
rnacentral:rRNA from 1 species